rnacentral:lncRNA from 1 species
UAGUUUAAAAGGUAGCGGAAAAGCGUCUGAAAUUUUUUUUUUUUUUGAAAAUCUGACCCCAGAGUGUGCCAGAUCCGCCACAAACACAGGGAAUCCACUGUUCACACGGAUAGAGUUUCCCCUGUAUUUGCACGGCGUUGCAUAAGUACAACAGAGUAUAAAUACAACCACAACCACAACCAGAUGAACGACAAGAUAGAUAACAUUCAUCCAUUCCAUUCGCACACACAGAUAUGAUACUUAAGUUAUGAAUAACAUUCCACAUCUAUCAAUUAAAAUGUUUCCUACUCGGAAACUAAUUUUGAAAUACUAAAUCCAUAAAACCACAGAAAAUCAAUUUGAAAACUGUUCUCUAAACAGGAACCUUUAUCUUUUUAAAACGCUACCACGAGG